CAGCAGCCGCGGGAAUACGAGGGGGGCAAGCGUUGUUCGGAAUUAUUGGGCGUAAAGGGUGCGUAGGCGGUUUCGUAAGUCUUAUGUGAAAUCUAUGGGCUCAACCCAUAGUCUGCAUGGGAAACUGCGAGGCUUGAGGAUGGGAGAGGUGAGUGGAAUUUCCGGUGUAGCGGUGAAAUGCGUAGAUAUCGGAAGGAACACCUGUGGCGAAAGCGGCUCACUGGACCAUUUCUGACGCUGAUGCACGAAAGCUAGGGGAGCAAACAGGAUUAGAUACCCCCGUAGUCCCUGUCUCUUAUAC
rnacentral:rRNA from 1 species